CUCACCCUCUCCUCUCUCUUUGCUCUCUCCCUCUUCAUCCCGAUGCAGACAGGGGCGACGGCGCCGACCUCGGCGGCGCGCGGCGGUGGCGGCUGCCCUCCUCUUCCUCCUCCUCCUCUUCUGGCUCUCACCUCCGUUUCUCCCUCCCCUUCCUCUCUCUCUCUCCCUCUCUCUCCCCUUCCAUCAUGGUGCGCCGGCGGGCACGAGGCGAGGGCGCCCCUUGCAGGCGGCGCCCUAGCAUGGGUAGGGUCCAGCAGCCCUACUACCUCUCCCCCAUCCUCCGCACGGGCUCCUCAACACCUCCUCCCGCCAGGAAACAUGUGCUUCGCUCCUCUAUGAAACCCUAGCUAUCUAUAUGCGGCUUUCUUCUGAUUUGGUUUUUGUUGAUUUCAGCUUCCUUCCUUUUCUUCCUUAGGGUUCCUCUACGAACCCCAUGUUUGAUGCCUUCCUUUGAUGCGUGCUUGUUGUGUUGUUGCUGUUAUUUGUGCCAUGUUUCGCUUCUGCGUUUCAGGUAUCGGCGGUCAUGAGGCUUCUGCCUCUUUGUCCCUACUUGCUCAACAUGGCAAGGAGCUCCUGCAUAAUAUUGUUGAGUCACAAAGCAAUAAUCUAACAAUACCUACCAGGAGGUUGACUAACAGAAUAAUGUUUGUAUUUGUGUUAUGAGCAAUUUUCUUCAUAUUAGAUUACUGAUAUUGUCUAAUGACAAUGGAUAUACACUGAAAGGGUGUAGAGGAUGGAUAUACACUAAAGGGUUUACUGAUUUUGAAGAUGGUUAGACGAAAUUGAGAUUGAAAUAUUGUUAUUACCUGAAUAAAUUUCAGACUCUAGCAUGUACACUUUUCAAGGUACGGUGACUACCAUACCAGAUGCUCUUUUUAAAGGCCAUGCUGAAGCAUGUAUUAGAGAAAGAUAAAAUGUAUACAAAAUACAUGAUGGAACUUGCCGCUAGCAGCUGCUCUCUCUAAUCCUCAAACAUGUGUUACUAGGUAUGUCGUCUGCUAUUGUUGCUGCCACACACCUAUUGCUCUAACUAAGACUGGUUUAUUGAAAGGAUGAGGACCAAUCAGGGUCACCACUAUAAUAGUGGCAUACAUGUAAGGACAGCUUCCGCGCAAAGUGUUCAUGUUUUUUUAGCCUUUUUAGUUGUUGCAUAGGCCAUGUACUCAGUGCAUAUUUUAAGUUAUAUAUUAUAUAUAUAGGGUCUGAAUUAAAAUAUUUUAAAAUAUAUGUUUUUUUGGCCGUUUUUGUUCCUACAAUAGGCCAUUUAGUCCUACGAUAUUUUAUAUUUAGCCAACAUAUGGUGCCUGAGUUAAGAUACUUUGAUGCUUUAAGAAUGAAGACACCAUUUUUUUCCUAUAGCAGCCCAUUUAGGCCUUUGUGCAUAUUUAGCAAUCCACAAUUUCUUAUACCAUUUAUUGCUCUUUUCAAUGAUGGCACUUCACAGUCAUGAUAAAGGAUUAGCAAAUGCAAUGUUCUAUCUUCUAUCUUGGCAUGUUACAUCUAUCAAAUUUCUAUGUUUUCUUACAUAUUCUCUUGCUUUCGUGCUACCUAGGUGUUUUUACCAUCCUAAUACUUGACAAUUUUAUAGUCAUGUCUGUCAUGGUUCACACAUUUAUUUGAGCAUGUGGCAGUCCUACACAUCUAUAACUCACUUGAUUUGGGGAUGCCUUUGCACCCAUUGUUCUUUUUUUUUCUUCCAAUUUCUCUUCUCCAGUGAAAUAAAGAAGCUAUUCAUUGCCAGUUAGGCAGUUGAGUUAAUCACAGAUUGCCUGCUAUGAUCUAAAUAUGAAGAUCUCAUUUUACUUUCUGAUAUUGCACUGACCAUCUUCAAAAUAGAGCUUGCGAGAGCGAUAGGGAAGGAUUUGUAUUUCUUUUUCCUACGUACUGUAGUUUUGUGUUCACGCUUGGUUUACUCCAUAUUUGGGUUCUUAAGACUUCUCAUUUUCGUCAUCUUAACACUGCUUUGUUUCCGGUGUGGCUGUCGUGAAUGAGUAGAAAUCUACUUUCCUCAGGGUACUACUCAAUCCUAUAGUCAUUGUGCCCCCCUUAAUAUCUACUGGUUGCUACCAUUAUUUUUGUUCAUAUUUAUUUGCAGGGGGCAAAGUUUUGCUGUAACUAAGGAGAUUGGUCACCCGAUGACGGUCAUUCGUGCAAUGAGCUAUACAAAAAUAUUGUCCUGUCCUUUUUUGGACCUACCAACUCCAUCGAAUUCAUCUUGAAGGAUAUGGUGUUGACAUUCACCAGCUUAAGGUGCAGCAGCACUUCAUUUGGUGAUAGUUUGUACCUAAGAAGCAUAAAUGCCCAGUACAAAUCCGAUGGCUCAGGCAUCAGGCAAAAGGCAUUACCCCUAUCGGUGGCCUUUUUUGAGUGCCCACUAAACCACAUCUGCACAACCACUGAUGAAAACAGACGCUGAAUCUAGAUAAAAAAAAGUCAUUUCCUAAUUUAAAGGUAUAUCCAUGAACAACACUAUUAGGAUUUAUAUAGGUGGCUUGGCUUCUUCAGCAUAAACGUUCUAUAAUAUAGAGCAUUCACAGGAGUUUUCCAAGCCAUAGCACAUUGGUUAUUCAGAUGCUAUGGCUUGGAAAAAUCCUUUGGAUAAUAUUGUGAAAAAGCCAGAGCAUUCACAGGAUGUUUCCCUGCUUGUGCUUUGGGCAAAAAAUGUUGCCUUCAUACAAAUCCGAUUUUGGAAUUCUUGGAGUAGUGGGGCGCAGAAACUUUUGGGGAAGUACCACCGGCCACCAUUCCGAUCCACAGGCCGCUUACAUUUUUUCUCAAUGGUUGUUAGGUUGGAAAUCCAUAGGAGCUUUGACCUAUUGGUUAAGACUCUUAGGUGGUUAACAAGACAAGUUUGUUCCAUGCUAUACUUUGUACUUGCUGAAAGUAAGACAAAUUAAAUGAGUCACAAACAAAACUGAUUUUAUACAAGAGUUUUUUUAAAUAAACCUACCGCUAUUUACUACCAAUUCAAAUAUACAAGCUUCAGUAAUAUAUAUAAAGCUAAUCGAGGUAAUUGUUUUCAACAAUGGUGUUUUCAUUUACUUUGGAUACAUAGACAGGUAGCACUGCAUGUCAUUAAAGGGUGCACUUCAACGGCCUUAAUAUUUCAGAUUUGCUUUUUUUUCAU